CCCCAUUAAUCUAAACUCAGGUGUGAGUGAAAGGGACUUAUCAGCAGAGUCUUCUGGAAUUUAAGACUGGAGAGCACCAAUGUGCAAGUGGAGGUUUAAGAGGAUGAAAGUCUGUUCCAGGAGGCCCUCUCUACCUGCAGAGUAGAGCCUGGAAUGGUUGAAGCAACCAGCACCCUCUGUGGCUGAUGAGAAGUCCUGGGAAGUGUGGAUUCCAGACAGUGGCCUUAGCAGAAAUAAGACUGUGGUCCAAGCCUUUCCCCAGCAGCUUCCAUUAAAGCCUGUCUUCUAGACCAUUGAAUCCAGCAUGGCAGCAAAUAUCACCUUUUACCUUCUUGGUCAUCAGACUGAGAAGAGCCUUUUCUGGACCUGAUGCAGAGUGCUGCCCUGGUCCAGAUGUCCUGGACUUUGCCUGAGAUGCAGAGUGGGAAGGUCUUGAAGGCAGAGUGGGUCUGUGGUUUCUAUUUGAGAAGAGGAUACAUAGCCAUCUGGGGAAGCAGACUGUGACAGAGCUUGGUCACACACAGGGGAAGGCCAUGUGAGGACAGUGAGAAGAGGGCUGACUGCAUGCCAGGAAGAGCCUUCACCAGAAACUGAACCCACCGGCACCUUAAUCUUGGACUUGCAGCCUCCAGAACUGUGAGAAAAUAAAUGUCUGAUAUUUAAGCCCUUCAGUCUCUGCUGUUUUGUCGUGGUGGGCCAAUCUGAGCUGACUAUUACAGCAUCACAACGUAAAAACCAAGCCAGGGGCUUCCCUGGUGGUCCAUUGGCUAAGACUCCAUGCUCCCAGUGCAGGGGGCUGGAGUUUGAUUCUUGGUCAGGGAACUAGAUCUCACAUGUCCCAACUAGAGAUCCACCACAGCCAAAC
ensembl:lncRNA